UACGUAGGGUGCGAGCGUUUAAUCGGAAUUACUGGGCGUAAGCGUGCGCAGGCGGUCUGUUAAGACAGAUGUGAAAUCCCCGGGCUUAAACCUGGGACUGCAUUUGUGACUGGCAGGCUAGAGUAUGGCAGAGGGGGGUAGAAUCCACGGUGUAGCAGUGAAAUGCGUAGAGAUGUGGAGGAAUACCGAUGGCGAAGGCAGCCCCCCAUGGGCCAAUACUGACGCUCAUGCACGAAAGCGUGGGGAG
rnacentral:rRNA from 1 species